ensembl:snRNA U6 U6 spliceosomal RNA
GUGCUCAGCUUCAGUAGCACAUAUACUAAAACAAUUAGAACGAUACAGAGAAGAUUAGCAUGGCCCCUGCAUAAGGAUGACAUGCAAAUUCAUGAAAUAUUAUUGU